rnacentral:rRNA from 1 species
CACGAAGGUUAGCUAAUCCUGGUCGGACAUCAGGAGGUUAGUGCAAUGGCAUAAGCUAGCUUGACUGCGAGCGUGACGGCGCGAGCAGGUGCGAAAGCAGGUCAUAGUGAUCCGGUGGUUCUGAAUGGAAGGGCCAUCGCUCAACGGAUAAAAGGUACUCCGGGGAUAACAGGCUGAUACCGCCCAAGAGUUCAUAUCGACGGCGGUGUUUGGCACCUCGAUGUCGGCUCAUCACAUCCUGGGGCUGAAGUAGGUCCCAAGGGUAUGGCUGUUCGCCAUUUAAAGUGGUACGCGAGCUGGGUUUAGAACGUCGUGAGACAGUUCGGUCCCUAUCUGCCGUGGGCGCUGGAGAAUUGAGGGGGGCUGCUCCUAGUACGAGAGGACCGGAGUGGACGCAUCACUGGUGUUCGGGUUGUCAUGCCAAUGGCACUGCCCGGUAGCUAAAUGCGGAAGAGAUAAGUGCUGAAAGCAUCUAAGCACGAAACUUGCCCCGAGAUGAGUUCUCCCUGAGACUAUAAGUCUCCUGAAGGAACGUUGAAGACGACGACGUUGAUAGGCCGGGUGUGUAAGCGCAGCGAUGCGUUGAGCUAACCGGUACUAAUGAACCGUGAGGCUUAACCUUACAACGCCGAAG